CUUUGCUCUGGUUUGUAAGAUGUUGACACCUGCGGAAGCUGGGCUGGGGCAUCCGAGAACUCUCUGCACUGUCCUUCAACUUUUCUGCUGGAACUCGGAGUGGAGGCAAGCAAGCUCCUACCAUGCGUGCAAGGACAACCCCUAGGAGACAGAGGAGCAAGAAGAUGGAUGGAAUCUAGGUUCCUGGACAACCUGAUGGAGCACAGAAAAAGGAACUGACACCUCACCCUACACGACCUUCUUCGCACCAUGUUUAAUUUUAAUCAAAGACUUGGGUCCACACAAAGUCUUGGCCUGGAUAAAAUGGAAUGACACACUAUAAAACCUUGUUAUAAGCGUUCCAUAAACCCCAAAGUCAUGCAACUGGUUACCGUAAAAUUAUUAUGUGCAGGGAGGGCAAACGGGGUAAUAGGGCACAUGUGUACGGUGACAGGUGGUAACCAGCCUUUGGGUGGUGAACACGAUGUAAACUACACAAAAAUCGAAAUAUAAUGAUGUACACCUGAAAUUUAUAUAAUGUUAUAAACCAAUGUUACCUCAAUUUACAAAAAUACAUGCAGGAAGGUAGCCAGCACAUUUAGAAACUUCACGCAAACAGAAAAAGGCACCCACUCUGAUAGACAAUUAGAAGGUGCACUGUCCUCCAGUGCACAGAGGAACAGAGCCUAGGCUGGAUUCAGAUCCCAGCCCCUCCGCCAGGCACAGCCUGCACAGCCAUACACAGCAGUUUACACACAAAAAAGAAAUGGGGGGGAGGGGAUCUUGUAUCUAGAUGAAUUUUAUAUAAAGUGAAGCCGGUGCGCCGAGGCAGUUUUCUGUUCGAGGAAAUCCUGCUGUGAACUCCUUCGUCACGUGGAGAAUGCUUCCUAAUGGAGGUCGUCACCACCCAGGCACUGCUGCGAAAUUCAGAUCCGUGAUUUGGCGAAAGUGAGAUCUGGCCGGAGAACUCAGAGAAAUUACAGACGCUGUUAAAUUACAAAGCACUCAGAGGCAAAGAGGAAAGAAAAGGCACAGGCGAUCGCCAGCAGGAUGGACGCUGGCAGUCUCCACCGGCUCCUAAUCACUAAUCGCGGCAUCCGCCCGCCUGUGGCCGUCACUGAGUCAACUGUACGUGCUCCCGGGGACAGGAAAUCUGCUUCCGUCCAACCGGGAAGCGAACGGACCAACGGACAACAAGGAACCAGCGGGAGGAGCUUCCCUGAGUUAGGGGACGGCUGCUGACAAACACGUGGAGACCACGCGGCCUCGCUCCCGCCCCGCCCCCCCCGUUGCCCUGACAACCGCGCCGGCGUCAGGUUGCGCUGAGGGCGCGCGGCCAGCCUCCCACAGUGCCCCGCGCGCGCGCAUGCGCCGGGGAGGCCCGCCGCGCAGGCCGUUUGGCUGGGCCCUGGCCGCGCAGCACCUCGCGGAGUCGGGAGGCGGGUGGGAGUGCGCCGGAGAGACGAGCCGCUCGCCACGCGCCGGCUUCGUGCUGGGCGCCCUCGGGGACUCCGGAGGAGACCCCGCCUUCCAGGCCCGCGCCUCCCUUCGGAGCGGCGAGACCCGCGUCCCGUGCCCGCCCUGCCUCAGUUUCCCCAUUUGUAGGGUGGGAGCUCACAGCCCUCCCUAGAGGCCAGAAGGGGCCGGAAGGCGGGGAGCAGGGCGGCUCCGUGGUGGGAGUGGUGGGACGAGGACGCGAAGAUGCCCGGGAGGUGCCAGAUCUGGGCCAUGGGCCAGAAGAUGCUAUGUGCUGCCCUCACAGAGCAGGAACUUGAAGUAAGGAAUUGGGAGCCUGCUCAAGAGAAUGGGCUAACCAGGAUGGCCCGACCUGAACCCGCGAGAACACAAGCUCAAGGGAGCACAGACAGCCCGUUGUGUUUAUCGCUGCCUCCCGGGUGCUCAGAACAAUCCCGAUACCUAGGACCAGUCAAUAACUAGGUGUCGAAUGAAUGAACAAGGGGCACGUGGUGUAUUUGGGAGAGGCUCCAAGAGAUCGUCAAGCCCUUCCCACGGCACACCAGGUCACCUAGAAUAGCAAGCAGCCGCGCCCAGAAUAGAGCCAGCUGAUCCCAAGAGUCCAGUUUUCCUAAACCCGUCAAGACACAGACCCCCUUUUAAAAGUCCUU
ensembl:lncRNA